rnacentral:rRNA from 1 species
UACGUAGGGUGCAAGCGUUGUCCGGAAUUAUUGGGCGUAAAGAGCUCGUAGGCGGUCUGUCGCGUCUGCUGUGAAAAUCCAGGGCUCAACCCCGGGCCUGCAGUGGGUACGGGCAGACUAGAGUGCGGUAGGGGAGACUGGAAUUCCUGGUGUAGCGGUGAAAUGCGCAGAUAUCAGGAGGAACACCAACGGCGAAGGCAGCACUCUGGGCCGGUACUGACGCUGAGGAGCGAAAGCGUGGGGAGCGAACAGG